AUUGAACGCUGGCGGCAGGCCUAACACAUGCAAGUCGAGCGGUAGCACAGAGAGCUUGCUCUCGGGUGACGAGCGGCGGACGGGUGAGUAAUGUCUGGGAAACUGCCUGAUGGAGGGGGAUAACUACUGGAAACGGUAGCUAAUACCGCAUAACGUCGCAAGACCAAAGUGGGGGACCUUCGGGCCUCAUGCCAUCAGAUGUGCCCAGAUGGGAUUAGCUAGUAGGUGGGGUAAUGGCUCACCUAGGCGACGAUCCCUAGCUGGUCUGAGAGGAUGACCGGCCACACUGGAACUGAGACACGGUCCAGACUCCUACGGGAGGCAGCAGUGGGGAAUAUUGCACAAUGGGCGCAAGCCUGAUGCAGCCAUGCCGCGUGUAUGAAGAAGGCCUUCGGGUUGUAAAGUACUUUCAGCGAGGAGGAAGGCGUUAAGGUUAAUAACCUUAGCGAUUGACGUUACUCGCAGAAGAAGCACCGGCUAACUCCGUGCCAGCCGCCGCCGUAAGAC
rnacentral:rRNA from 1 species